rnacentral:tRNA from 1 species
GCGGAAAUAGCUCAGUUGGCAGAGCAUAACCUUGCCAAGGUUAGGGUCGCGAGUUCGAGUCUCGUUUUCCGCU